GCAAGUCGAGCGGAAACGAUGUAGCUUGCUACAGGCGUCGAGCGGCGGACGGGUGAGUAAUGCUUAGGAAUCUACCGAGUAGUGGGGGAUAGCCAUUGGAAACGAUGAUUAAUACCGCAUACGCCCUACGGGGGAAAGCAGGGGAUCUUCGGACCUUGCGCUAUUUGAUGAGCCUGAGUGAGAUUAGCUAGUUGGUGGGGUAAAGGCCUACCAAGGCGACGAUCUCUAGCUGGUCUGAGAGGAUGAUC
rnacentral:rRNA from 1 species